AGUCAUUGUAGCAAUACAAGGCAGACGGCUCAGUAACGCGUAGUCAAUCUACCCUAUGGACGGGAAUAACCUCGGGAAACUGAGAAUAAUGCCCGAUAGAACAUUAUACCUGGAACGGUUUAUGUUUCAAAUGAUUUAUCGCCGUAGGAUGGGACUGCGGCCUAUCAGUUUGUUGGUGAGGUAAUGGCCCACCAAGACUAUUACAGGUACGGGCUCUGAGAGGAGUAGCCCGGAGAUGGGUACUGAGACACGGACCCAGGCCCUAUGGGGCGCAGCAGGCGAGAAAACUUUGCAAUGUGCGAAAGCACGACAAGGUUAAUCCGAGUGGUUUCUGCUAAAGAAACCUUUUGCUAGUCCUAGAAACACUAGUGAAUAAGGGGUGGGCAAGUUCUGGUGUCAGCCGCCGCGGUAAAACCAGCACCUCAAGUGGUCAGGAUGAUUAUUGGGCCUAAAGCAUCCGUAGCCCGUUUUGUAAGUUUUCGGUUAAAUCCAUACGCUCAACGUAUGGGCUGCCGGGAAUACUGCAUAACUAGGAAGUGGGAGAGGUAGACGGUACUCGGUAGGAAGGGGUAAAAUCCCUUGAUCUAUUGAUGACCACCUGUGGCGAAGGCGGUCUACCAGAACACGUUCGACGGUGAGGGAUGAAAGCUGGGGGAGCAAACCGGAUUAGAUACCCGGGUAGUCCCAGCUGUAAACUAUGCAAACUCAGUGAUGCAUUGGCUUGUGGCCAAUGCAGUGCUGCAGGGAAGCCGUUAAGUUUGCCGCCUGGGAAGUACGUACGCAAGUAUGAAACUUAAAGGAAUUGGCGGGGGAGCACCACAAGGGGUGAAGCCUGCGGUUC
rnacentral:rRNA from 1 species